rnacentral:rRNA from 1 species
UACAGAGGGGGCAAGCGUUAUUCGGAAUUAUUGGGCGUAAAGGGCGCGUAGGCGGCUUGGCAAGUGGAAGGUGAAAUCCCUCGGCUUAACCGAGGAACUGCCUUCCAGACUGCUUUGCUUGAGGCCGGGAGAGGCGAGUGGAAUUCCCAGUGUAGCGGUGAAAUGCGUAGAUAUUGGGAGGAACACCAGUGGCGAAGGCGGCUCGCUGGACCGGUUCUGACGCUGAUGCGCGAAAGCGUGGGGAGCAAACGGG